rnacentral:rRNA from 1 species
UACGAGAGGCCCAAACGUUAUUCGGAAUUACUGGCUUAAAGAGUUCGUAGGCGGCAUUGCAAGUAGGGUGUGAAAGCCCACGGCUCAACCGUGGAGGGUCAUUGGAAACUGGGGGACUUGAGUGCAGGAGAGAAGAGUGGAAUUCCACGUGUAGCGGUGAAAUGCGUAGAGAUGUGGAGGAACACCAGUGGCGAAGGCGACUCUUUGGCCUGUAACUGACGCUGAGGCGCGAAAGCGUGGGGAGCAAACAGG